GUGUUCACUUAGGCAGCACAUAUACAAAAAUGGGAACUACGCAGAGAAAAUUAGCAUGGCCCCUGUGCAAGGAUGACACAAAUUCAUGAAGCAUUCCAUAGUUUU
ensembl:snRNA U6 U6 spliceosomal RNA